rnacentral:rRNA from 1 species
GGCUUCCUGAGGAUCAUGGGGGGUCGUGCCUUCCCAGUGGGUAUACGAGCCUAAACGGACGCGGUAAAUCGUGCUAAGGUAGCUAAAUUAUGGCCUAUUAAUUGUAGGUCCUGUGAAUGGUUUGACGAGUCUUCUACUGUCUCAAGGUUGUUUUGGUGAACUUGAAUUGAACGUGCAAAUGCGUUCAUAGGUGAGAAAGACGAGAAGACCCCGUGAAGUUAGAAAUCCCUGUUACAGCGUAAUCCUUUAUGAUACUGUGUGUCAAUGGUUAUAGGUUUAAAAUAUUAAACAGUAGUUGGUAUUUUUAAGCUUUAAGUGGAGGGGUGUAAUUUUGAUGGGUUUUGGCUGGGGCAGCAAAAAGGCAAAACAAGACCUUUUUAGACAAUAAACGGGUGCGUUACGACCCAUAGAAGAGGAUGGUGUGAUUAGCAGAAGAAGUUACUCCGGGGAUAACAGCGUUAUCCGCCUUGACAGUUCGUAUAGAUGGGCGGGUUUGCGACCUCGAUGUUGGCUCUGGGUAUCCUGAGGCUUGCAGGUGGUCUCAAGGGUUGGUUCGUUCGCCCAUUAAAACCCG